GACGGGGGGGGCAAGCGUUGUUCGGAAUUACUGGGCGUAAAGGGCUCGUAGGUGGCCAACUAAGUCAGACGUGAAAUCCCUCGGCUUAACCGGGGAACUGCAUCUGAUACUGGAUGGCUUGAGUUUGGGAGAGGGAUGCGGAAUUCCAGGUGUAGCGGUGAAAUGCGUAGAUAUCUGGAGGAACACCGGUGGCGAAGGCGGCAUCCUGGACCGACACUGACGCUGAUGCGCGAAAGCCAGGGGAGCGAACGGG
rnacentral:rRNA from 1 species